rnacentral:lncRNA from 1 species
GUCCCCACCUGUCCCUGUGAGGGCCAGUGUGAGCCCUGGAGGGAGGACGUGCCCCUCUGAACCAGCUGGAGCCCCACCUGGGGAGCAAACCCCUGCAGGUGAGGAACAGGAGGGGGCAAGCCCACGGGGGGCCAGGGCGAGGUGGGCUGAGGCUUGUCACAUGUCAGGAGCCUCUGAGGGGCUUGGAGCUCCCGGGUCUGCCUGCCUUCGUGCCUUGGUUCCAGCGGGCGACUUUGCUUCCUGGAGCCUCAGUUUUGCCAUCCUUAAAAUAGGCGUAACACAGACCUGAGCUCGGGGACGGCUGCGGGGACCCCGCGGGUACAGUGCGGAGGGCCCUGCAGAGAGCUAUGGGAGGACUAAGCGGGAUCCCGGGCGAGGGGGGCACCCCUGGUUUCCAGGGAGACUGGGGGAGGUAGGGGUGCUCCCUUGGCCCCAACACCCCCUCCAGGCUUUUCUCGGCCCUCCCUGCUUUCUCCUCAGCCUAGCGGUGCUGGGGUGGCAUUUCGAGGUCUCCCGAGCCACCCGCACAGCAGGAAGCUUGUGGCCAGGGUGACAGCUGUCAUACAUGUAAACAUGCAUGUGUGUGCAUGUGCAGGGGCACCCGUGAGGCCCCGUGAGCACAGCCGUGCGAGGUGAGCACGUGCAGGAGUGAGUGCCCGGGCCCUGGUGUGGGAGUCGGGACGUGGGGCUAUUUGCGGUUUCUGCUGCUGCCCGUUUCUGAAGGCUUUUCAGGAGUUCUAGGAUCUCAGGGGUGGGGCAGAAUUAGGGCCCCCGUGCAAAAGGGGAAUGUGUGACCCCACGUUCAAAACGUACCAAGACUGUGAAGACGGCCACAGCAGGGCAUUAAACCGAGGUUGGGGCCUCCUGAGUGUGGGGGCCCAGUGCGAGCCCCCGGGCCCUUCCCGCUCCCUGGGGCGUGGGGGUGUGUGUGACCUGGCCGGGCCCAUGGACACUCCAGCCCGCAGCGGUGGUAGGACCCGCAGGAAGGGUCUGGAAAGUCUAUGAAAGAGACACCCUGGUUCCCAUCUUGGGAGCAGCCGGGAGCCACGUGGGGACAGGACACACAGCCUAAGGCAAGUGUCUCCCAGCCUCUCUGUUGAAGCCCAGGGUCAGGGUCGUCCCUGCGGACCGGAGGCUGGCAAGCUGGCGCAGCGCCUGCUUUUAGCCAGCCUGGCAGGACGCUGUGGGCGGGGGGCCUGGGCAGAGCUGGGGAGCCUGGGGGUGGACGGCAGGACGGCCGAGGGCCCCAGGGCCUCUCCUCGGGACAGGAACAGGAGGCUGCCCCCUGGGGUUCCUGCAAGGGGCUUGGGGCUCCCCCGACAGCUGCGGCCUUGGACCCUGGCCCCAGGGGUGCACUCUGCUGGAAAGUUCUCUGCGGUCUCCAGAAGCACCCACCCAGGCGUGGGAACCUGCCCCGUGGAACUUGGGGCUGUUCUGCUGGAACCUCAGGGACUGGGUCCGAAGCUUGGGGACCCCACCUGGUCCCGAGCUCUGAGCGCCCUCAGGGUGGGGUGGGCCUGGCUCACGCGGAGGGGUCUCCCAGAGCCUGGCACAGCGCCGGCACAGCAGGGACACACAGCCUUCCUGUGGGGCUGGAGAAAAUGGACACGUCCAGCCAAUGCCAUCAGACCACGCGUCCGUGUCGCCAGAUGCCUCUGCUGGGGCUGCCAAGAUGGCAACCAGUGCACCGUCUGGCUUCGACGCUGCGUAUUAACGGGCAGCCUGGUGAUGCACGUCCGCCCGCCCAUGUUUCGAUGUGGGAAAAAGGUCUUUUCUCCGAGGGCCUGGGAGUCUGCGAUGGGCUUCCCCGGUCUCUCUUGCAUGAACCACAUGCCCAGUGCAUCUCUUGCCUUUUGCAGUUUCUGUUUCUUUAAAGUGGGGAGAGAAGGAAUAUGUUCCCAGAGACACCCAACUGGAGAGCUCCUGGGCAGACUUCAAUGCUCUAAGGAGAUGUACGUGAAGCCACGAGCACAGAGCCGGGUCGCGACUCCCUGAGGAGAAGGGUCACUUCCUGCCCCGCCCCGCCAUCCCCGUGAAACGCGCCCCAGAGGGUCAGCUGCUCCCUGGACAGACACCGUCUGAAAUGACGGCCUGUGGCUGUAAGGAGCCCACCAGGGCCAGGAGCCUCUUGGCUCUUUCUGAUGACACUGGCCCCACCUGGAGAGUCCGGGGUGAUCUCUCCAUGAGGUCAGCUGCUUGGGUCGCUGAGUCCCGGGCGUCACGCCCAGCGCGGUGGCUGCAGGGAACAGCACCGCAGCGCAUGUGGAAAAGCAGCUGAGGGCAGAGCCUGAAGUCCUCACCACAGGGAAAAAGCAGAACGUGUUAUAACCGUGUCCGUGAGGGAUGUCAGCUUUCAGACUUACUGUGGUGAUCGCUUCACAGCGCACACAAACAGCGAACCGUGAUGUCCCACACCUGAAACUAACACAACGUCAGGUGUCAGUUAUACCUCAAUGGAAAUAAGGAAUGGAUCAGUCAAAAUAAACAAAGAUUUCCUCGAUAAAAACUGAAACGUCCACAACUAGAAGGACCUGCAACUAAAAUUUACAACUACGCACUGGGGGCCUUUGGGGAGAGAAGAAGAAGAAGGAAAAAAACACUCGAAACAUCAAAUGAGUAGAAAUCGAAAAAAAAAACCCCACCAUCUUUAAAUGUUCCUUAAACGUGGGUCACUCCAAUUUGCUUUGCAUUUCACUUAUUCUAUGAUUUCUCACGGGUUUCUUUAUCUUCUUUCCUGCCCACGUGACGCCACAGCCCUAUGACCCUCCAAUCCAUGCAUAUGAAACUGUCACAUAUACCAACUUUCCUAAUGUUUAAAAUUAGGAAAAAAAAUAAAAUCUAGUGUGAUCUGUGGAAACCAAAGGUCAGCUGUUUACUAACCUCGACUCGAGCUGCGGCCUAAGGCCUCUGAGCCGUGUAACCAACACGGUCCCAGGUUCUGGGGACCGGGGCGUGGACGUCUUUGGCGGACUGUUAUUCUGCUUUCCACGCUUGCUUAUUUGAUCUUUUCCAUCACACGCA